GCAAGUCGAGCGCUCCUUCGGGUGAGCGGCCGACGGGUUAGUAACGCGUGGGAACAUACCCUUCUCUAUGGAAUAGCCACUGGAAACGGUGAGUAAUACCUUAUACGCCCUUCGGGGGAAAGAUUUAUCGGAGAAGGAUUGGCCCGCGUUAGAUUAGAUAGUUGGUGGGGUAAUGGCCUACCAAGUCUACGAUCUAUAGCUGGUUUGAGAGGAUGAUC
rnacentral:rRNA from 1 species